AGCGAACGCUGGCGGCAGGCUUAACACAUGCAAGUCGAACGGGCAUCUUCGGAUGUCAGUGGCAGACGGGUGAGUAACACGUGGGAACGUACCCUUCGGUUCGGAAUAACUCAGGGAAACUUGAGCUAAUACCGGAUACGCCCUUUUGGGGAAAGGUUUACUGCCGAAGGAUCGGCCCGCGUCUGAUUAGCUUGUUGGUGGGGUAACGGCCUACCAAGGCGACGAUCAGUAGCUGGUCUGAGAGGAUGAUCAGCCACACUGGGACUGAGACACGGCCCAGACUCCUACGGGAGGCAGCAGUGGGGAAUAUUGGACAAUGGGCGCAAGCCUGAUCCAGCCAUGCCGCGUGAGUGAUGAAGGCCUUAGGGCUGUAAAGCUCUUUUGUCCGGGACGAUAAUGACGGUACCGGAAGAAUAAGCCCCGGCUAACUUCGUG
rnacentral:rRNA from 1 species